GAUGAACGCUAGCGGCAGGCUUAAUACAUGCAAGUUGAGGGGCAGCAUGAUAUACGCGAGUAUAUUGAUGGCGACCGGCGGACGGGUGAGUAAUAGGUAGGAGACCUACCUCAUACAGGGGGAUAGCAUAGAGAAAUCUGUGGUAAUACCCCAUGAGGUUAUAUGAAUAGAGGCAUAUAAUCAAAGCAUAAGCGAUUAUGCGGUAUGAGAGGGGCCUACUGACCAUUAGCUAGUUGGUGAGGUAAGGGCUCACCAAGGCGAAGAUGGUUAGGGGUUUUGAGAGAGAGACCCCCCACAUUGGAACUGAGAGACGGUCCAGACUCCUACGGGAGGCAGCAGUAGGGAAUAUUGGGCAAUGGGCGAAAGCCUGACCCAGCCAUGCCGCGUGAAGGAAGACGGCCUUAUGGGUUGUAAACUUCUUUACUACGCGAAUAGAGGUUAGUACGAGAUACUAAUAGGAAGGUAGUAGUAAGUAAAAAGCAACCGGCUAACUCCGUGACCC
rnacentral:rRNA from 1 species